GAGUUAAACCAAUUACAUAAAUUAUUCAAAUUAAUACUUGUAUACUUUUAAAAAGUAAUUUUCAUAAAAUAAUGUUUUGUUUGUUUCGAUGCUUGAUUAUUUUUCAUUAAUAAUAAUAUUUAAUAAUCAAAAUAUUUAAUCUGGCAACCCCUUUUAAAAAUAAAACAAAGCAGAUGUAUAACAGUUACUACCUGACUCAGGACAGAGACAACAAUAUAAUAAAAGAAAUCAAAAAAAUCAGCCACAAUGGAAAAUCGAUAAUGCUAGAACGGGGUGGUGGAAAUUUCCUGAACAUUCUCUGCAUGUGGUAGUGAACACGUACGCCACGGGUAUAAAUACGACUGCCUAGCGACCAGCAAUAUCAUUCGUAAAGAAAAAGUCAACUAGUGUGUGUCUACAGAGAAAUAAAAGUGGAAAAAGUUAAAAGUGUACAGAUUAAUUAAAGUGAAACAAAAUUAAUUUGAAAAGUGUAUUUUGCUGGUGUAAAAGUGUGUGUUGCCAUUGAAUAGCAGAAAAAAUGGCUUUGCGUUGCAAAUUAUUGCGAAAUGAGCAUUUUUGCUCCACAAAUAGUAGGCUGAAAUGAAAUUAGACGCCAACAGAAAAUGCAGUAGAGCAUUUAUAAAAUUGAAAGAUGAAAAAGAAAUUAAAAAGCUAAGCUGGCACCACCCAAGGCUUGAGAAUUUUAUAGAAAAAAAUCUUGCGGAAUUUGCUGAAGAGGUUUUAUUAUCCUAGCGGACGUCGUCAAGUAAAAGAAUAUUGAGGUUGCUUACUAAAAAUGAAAGAAAAAAAGGUUAUAAAGGACCCAGCGUUUUAAGGAAGUUUUUGUGCUACAUGGGCCAGUAGAGAAGAGAUCUUUUUAAAAGUGUGUGUACAUAUAGUACUAGAGCAGGUUUAUAGAGUUGUGCCACGGAAAAAAUGGUUCUUUCCCCACUGACUAGCAAAUUUUAUGUCCGUUUGGGCGGCCUUUUCUCGUAAAACAUUAAAUGAUUUUGCUUAAGUCAGUCUCGUCGUCGUCUCUCGUAUCUCGUUUGAAAUUACAAAAAAAAUAAAAUAAAAGAACAAAAAUAACAACAGUAAAACAAACCCUAACAACAACUAUACAAACCAAUAAAAAAACAAAAACUAGAAAAAAAAGGUUUAAAAAAAGCGAUAUUAAAGCGUUAAAAAAGCGUUUAACACACACAAUCUGUAUUGUUGAGUAUACCCUUUGCUAAGCGUUAUAAAAACAAAGCGAAAAUAUACUUUAUGAUAAAAUUAGAGAAAAAAAACUAAGAAAAUUAAAAGAAAAAAACGGAGCGAGAAGACAGAAGACAGGCAGGCAGGUCGGCAUAAAUAAAUAAAUGUUUCUAAGAGAAAAAUCAGGCAGGCAGGCAGUAUGUAAAAGAGUUCGUUCGUUCGUAAGUCAGACAAAUCAUACGAUGAUGUUAACGAAACAAUGAGAAGACUACUACUACUUGCUAGACCAAAUAUUCAAAAAUUAAACAACGGCCAAAAAUUAAAACUAAAUGUAUGUUUUAAACGCCCAAUGA